CUGGCGGCUGCAGGGCCUUGCGAGAUGCUUCCUUCUGGAGGAGAGCGGCUCCCCGGGAAGCGGAGAAACAUCUCUGAGCCGGCGGAGCCCAGUGGAUCCAAGGCACAGAUGUUCUUUUAGCAUUGCACACAGGAAGCCCCUUGGCAAACGAUCAAAGAGCACAGUCCCAGCUGGCAGACGUCUUGGGCUGGACACCUCCAGAAGCAGAGCCGCAGACCGUGAGUGGGGUGAAAGUUGUUUGGGAAAAGACCCCGGAAGAGGCGGGGCGGUGAGACAAUGAGUGUGUUAUGCUAAAACCCUCCUUUAUUCUGUGGUACGGGGGAUUGAACACAGGGCCUUUGCACUGAGCUACCUCCCCAGCCUUUUCUACAUUUUAUUUUCGUAAGGUCAGACUGAGGCAUGACUGAGACCACCCAAGGCAGGCAAAGUUCAAGUGAUGGGCGAUCAGUUCAUCACCAUCUGGGUGCAGAUGGGCCAAGGUCAAGAAGGUCUUUGGCUUGGAGAGGAGGGCACGCAGUUGAUACGGGGGAUUAGGUAGGGAGGGGGCACUGGUUGAAAGGAUGGAAAAUUUUACAGUCCCACGGGUGAUGGGCCUGGGCCGGCUGACUAACAGGGCGGUGGUGAGAGCAGCAGGGCAG
rnacentral:lncRNA from 1 species